AUUGCUUUUUGGCCUUUUAGCUAAAAUAAAUGUAACAUCUAAUUUUAUCAGUUUAACAUCUGAUAUGUCUUCUAUCCAUGAACAAUAUUUUAAAUGAAUUUUUUUGGAGCAGGGAGAUGGAAUAGAAGUUUCCCCCACCCAUUCCACACAUCAGCCUGGUAAUGCAGUAACUGCAGGAAUGGUUCACCUCUG
ensembl:snRNA U2 U2 spliceosomal RNA